rnacentral:lncRNA from 10 species
AAAUCUCCUGUUGAAAAGAAGAAAAUAUCUAUUUAUUGGAAAGUAUUCUUUGGUUGAUAUUUGAAAAUGAUGGAGCAAAUCAAACAAAAUCUAAAAUCACACAAUUUCAACAUCCUCACCAAAAUAUAUCUAUUUUCACACAAAGUAUCAUCAUGAACUCAAUAAUGUAUUAUAUUGAAAAUGAGACCUAACUAUAGGCAACUUCAGAACAGAUAUUUAUUGCAUGUCCUUGACUAUGGAAAAUACUAAUGAAAGAUAUCCUAAAUAAAUGGUAGACAUGGGAAUGGUGAUCUAAUUUGAGAGCAAAACAUGCACCUAAGAAAAAUUAAAAUGUGAACAGUGAUAAAACAAUAUAUCAUUAAGCGCUAAAUGAUACAAUACAUCUUAUAUGCACUCAUGCUAAUGGAGACAUUCGAAUUCUUAUUUUAAUCGUACAAUAUUAUAACUCAUAUACACAUAACAGGUUUAUUUUCAUUUUAUCGAACAUCAUUGGAGAAAUAUUAAAUUCUUUGCACUAAGAAAGGCAAUACUCUAAAUCAAUUUUAAGGUUGAUUUUUGCUUUACACCCAUGGAGGCUGGAAAAUCUCUUCUGCCCAUAGGAAGAGGAGUAGGGAACGUGUAAAGUGCCUCAGUGAAAAAGCAGGUGAGAAAAAGACUCAAAUGUUAUUCAGUUUUGGCAACUAGGAGAUGACUAGUGACAUUUUUAAGUGUAGUUCCAGUAGAGUGGUGAAGAUAUAAGACAGAGUCACAUGAAGUCUACUCAGGAGGUGAGAAAAUGAAGACAGUGACAUUAGACUGCGCUGACAAGGAGCUGGCCUGAGAAGGGAAACACUUUCAAGAGUAGCUGCUGUGUGGUGCUCUACUGCUGGGGAAUUGUGCUGCUGUCCUGCUGGAGGAGGUUCCUCUCUUCCUUUUUUUUUUUUUUUUUUUUUUUCCUUUUUCAAACAUAGGGGAGAGAGAAUCUAACUUGUAAGUUGAAGAAAAGAGUCAGUUUGGAAGGAACAGUUAUUGAUAGCACAGACAUUUGGAAAGAACGAUGGAGUAAAGCCACUGAAAACUGUAGGAUGAGAUGAGAUGCAAAGUACAGGAUGUGUUAGCUAUUGAAGAGAACAGGCAUUCCUAUUCCAUGAAGCCUAAGAAGAAUUUAUGAAAAAAUGUGCACAUUUGUGAGGAGAGGACAGGGACUUGAAGGAGUUUUUUGACCCAUGACUCUAGUUUCUCUUUGAUAAAAAUGGCGAGGCUCUUACUGAAAAUGUGUAAGGGUGUUCUGGGGCUCAGUAAGGCUUAAUGGGCAGGAUGAAAGAAAUCUUUGGAAUAGGGUUUGGGGACUGUCACAUUUCCACAGUGGAAACUUCUAUUAAGGUAGUUACAGAUCAAGAAAAAGCAUGGAUUAACAGCUAAACUUACCUAAACCAAUCACAAAUGCCUGUCUCAUAUGUAAAAAGUUAACAA